GCCAGUGUGGCGGAAUUGGCAGACGCGCGGGACUCAAAAUCCCGUUCCCUUCAUCGGGAGUGUCGGUUCGAUCCCGACCACUGGUA
rnacentral:tRNA from 4 species